UGAGUGGUGUUUGGUUUGUUACRGGUGGUUGGCUCUUUGCUUGCGCAACAACUUCCACCCGGCAUACCUUUUCAGUUCUUUGCAUAGGCUUCUAUUGCCUGUGCAGAUUGUGGGUUUCCUGUGUUGCAUACCAAUAUAUGGUAUUUUCUUGCUUGAUGAGAGUCCCUCUUCGUCUUGUGUCAAUGCCAUGACACUAGACGAACCAUGAAGCUGUCUCUUUGAACCAUAUUGUUAACACAUGUGUUGAUGAUGUGGCUCAUUGGGCAUUGGUUGGUAUCUUGGAUAUAGAACCUUAUGUUGGUAUGGGGUCUCAYGAGAUCCCUAUUCUACCUUCACUUAGCGUUYGCGCUUCUCUUAAAAUGACUGCCUGCGCCCGUAUUGGCUCGUACCAGCGGGGCAAGCUAUGUCAAAGAGGAAUGCUACCUGGUUGAUCCUGCCAGUAAGUCA
rnacentral:misc_RNA from 1 species